rnacentral:rRNA from 1 species
GAUGAACGCUGGCGGCGUGCCUAAUACAUGCAAGUCGAGCGAACAGACGAGGAGCUUGCUCCUCUGACGUUAGCGGCGGACGGGUGAGUAACACGUGGAUAACCUACCUAUAAGACUGGGAUAACUUCGGGAAACCGGAGCUAAUACCGGAUAAUAUAUUGAACCGCAUUGUUCAAUAGUGAAAGACGGUUUUGCUGUCACUUAUAGAUUGAUCCGCGCCGCAUUAACUAGUUGUUAAGGUAACGGCUUACCAAGGCAACGAUGCGUAGCCGACCUGAGAGGGUGAUCGGCCACACUGGAACUGAGACACGGUCCAGACUCCUACGGGAGGCAGCAGUAGGGAAUCUUCCGCAAUGGGCGAAAGCCUGACGGAGCAACGCCGCGUGAGUGAUGAAGGUCUUCGGAUCGUAAAACUCUGUUAUUAGGGAAGAACAAAUGUGUAAGUAACUAUGCACGUCUUGACGGUACCUAAUCAGAAAGCCACGGCUAACUACGUG